rnacentral:rRNA from 1 species
AGGAUUAACGCUGGCGGCGUGCAUGAAACAUGCAAGUCGAGCGCGGUGUGAUGCGGGGUAACCCAAUUCACAUCUAGCGGCGAACGGGUGAGUAACACGUGAGCAACCUACCUUUGAGUUGGGGAGUAGCCCUGGGAAACCGAGGAUUAAUACCCGAUGUGGUCACAACAGGACAUCCUGAUGUGAGUAAAGGCGCAAGCCGCUCAAUGACGGGCUCGCGGCCUAUUAGCUUGUUGGUGGGGUAACGGCCUACCAAGGCGAUGAUGGGUAGCUGGUCUGAGAGGACGAUCAGCCACACUGGGGACUGAGACACGGCCCAGACUCCUACGGGAGGCAGCAGUUAGGAAUUUUCCGCAAUGAGCGAAAGCCUGACGGAGCAACGCCGCGUGAGUGAUGAAGACCUUCGGGUUGUAAAGCUCUGUCGGAGGGGAAGAACACAAUGACGGUACCCUCCAAGAAACGCCCCGGCUAACUACGUGCCAGCGAGCCG